rnacentral:rRNA from 1 species
CCUACGGGAGGCAGCAGUAGGGAAUCUUCCACAAUGGGCGCAAGCCUGAUGGAGCAACACCGCGUGAGUGAAGAAGGGUCUCGGCUCGUAAAGCUCUGUUGGUGGAGAAGAACGGGCGGGAGAGUAACUGUUCACGCAGUGACGGUAUCCAACCAGAAAGUCACGGCUAACUCCGGGCCAGGAGCCGCGGUAAUACGUAGGUGGCAAGCGUUAUCCGGAUUUAUUGGGAGUAAAGCGAGCGCAGGUGGUUGCUUAGGUCUGAUGUGAAAGCCUUCGGCUGAACCGAAGAAGUGCAUCGGAAACCGGGCGACUUGAGUGCAGAAGAGGAAAGUGGAACUCCAGGUGUAGCGGUGGAAUGCGUAGAUAUAUGGAAGAACACCAGUGGCGAAGGCGGCUGUCUGGUCUGCCACUGACGCUGAGGCUCGAAAGCAUGGGUAGCGAACAGGAUUAGAUACCCUAGUAGUC